rnacentral:rRNA from 1 species
AGCUCCAAUAGCGUAUAUUAAAGUUGUUGCAGUUAAAAAGCUCGUAGUUGGAUUUCGGAAUGGGUCAGUUGGUCCGCCUCACGGUGUGUUACUGACUGGUCUGUUCUUCUUCGCAAAGACUGUGUAUUCUCUUCAUUGAGUGUGCUCAGGAUUUACGACGUUUACUUUGAAAAAAUUAGAGUGUUCAAAGCAGGCCUACCGCUUGAAUACAUGAGCAUGGAAUAAUGGAAUAGGACUUUGGUCUUAUUUUGUUGGUUUCUAAGACCGAAGUAAUGAUUAAGAGGGACAGUUGGGGGCAUUAGUAUUUCGUUGUCAGAGGUGAAAUUCUUGGAUUUACGAAAGACUAACAACUGCGAAAGCAUUUGCCAAGAAUGUUU